rnacentral:piRNA from 1 species
UAAACUCAGUUCUUCACGCUGGCACCCAAG